AGUAUCGCAGGUGCUGGAAUGAUCAAGAAGGCAUGGAGAAGAAUAUAUGCUGGUAAUAUAGCUGUUCUAUUGGAUUGAUGGAUGUUCUGUAACUGUAAGUAAUUAUGCUCUUAGCUCUCUGUAUGUAUAUAGCUCAGUUUGCUGCUACUGGUUAGCUACUGUACUGCUCAGGCUUAUCUGAAUAUAGCCAUAUUACUCACUACUGGGCGUCUCAAAAACCUUUGUAAGCUUCCAUGACUAACCCUCAUGAUCAGAAUACAACACUCCAUGCUCUGUAUGGUCAAAUGCUCAAAUUCUAAAAAUGGCUAUCCAUACCAGUUCGAUAGUUUCAGAAUUCCUAAUUCUUCUCCCUAGUAAAAAACAAAAGGAGAUGCACGUAAUCAUGAAGGCAAAGCCCCAUAGCCAUAGGGAACCACGAAAAGCAUGUGGCUAUAAUACUGUAGCCGGAGUUCUUGGUUGUAGUGGGCUGUUCAAGACUAUUGACGUGAUCAGAUGUGCAUUCCAUGAACAUUCAACUGAUUGGAUAUUCACACAGGCACAUUGCUUUCAGAUAAUACAUCAUGUUGAAAAAUAAUUGAGCUUCAACAACUACCGGAAGAAAACUAACGUUGACUUGACUUGCAGGGUCUCUGGUUGCUUCUUGAUGGCUCAUGGCUUCAACAACCAGACUAGCAUGAUGCCCCACUUUCACCAACUCUGGUACUAUUUUGAUGAUUUCAGAUUCUGAAGGGCAAGCGAGAGCUACCUGCACAGGGCUGCCCUUUUUUCAGAUUCUGAAGCGCGCAAGAAGGUCACCACAGGUCCAAAUCUGGCCAGACCUACAGCGAUUACAGACCAGGUGCCAUUCUAAUGAUAUUAUCUCCUUCUAUUUGGUUCUGUUCCUAUUUCUCCUGUCAAUAUCCUAAGCUGGUCGAUGAAGUAUUGACCAGUUCUCCUUGCCAUUAAAUGCCAGGUAGGCGGUUCUCUGGUUUUAGUGGGUAAAGGUAACAAGGGAGCACCUCAAGUUGAAAUCAGAUCCAGCUACUUGUCAUCAACAGCAAGCUAGCAUACUCUCAGUCAUACAUAUGACUCCAUGAGAGUUCACGACCUCAACAGUUAAGCUUCAGUGCCAACAUAACCACCCAAGCCAUGAAGUCCUUUUUCCCCCGAGAAUCCAUGAGACUAUUCUGAUGAUUUCAGAUUCAGAAAUGCACAAGGUCACCAAGCUCGAUUGGAUCUAUGCCAUCAGGC
rnacentral:lncRNA from 1 species